AAACCUUCAAGCUAAGCUUGGUGUUGGGUGACUGUCCGCUUCACUGCGGUCUCGCCUCAAAAUUAUUGGCGGCCGGUACAUUGGCUUCGAGCGCAGCAGAAACGCGAACUCGGGCCCGUCGUAUUGGCUCCCAGAAGCUAUCUUCACAA
rnacentral:misc_RNA from 1 species